rfam:Populus trichocarpa scaffold_1_contig_341, whole genome shotgun sequence.
UAAUCUGUUUGGGGGUAAAUUCAUAUUUAGUUAUGGCAGAUUCACACUUGACUAUUCAAAAUCACUCACUACUAUAUGAACAAUAACUUUUGAGAUUUUAAUUGGCAU